GGGCCCGCACAAGUGGUGGAGCAUGUGGUUUAAUUCGAUGCAACGCGAAGAACCUUACCAACCCUUGAAUCUAGCGAAGUUCACAGAGAUGAGAAUGUGCCUUCGGGAACGCUAUGACAGGUGUUGCAUGGCUGUCGUCAGCUCGUGUCGUGAGAUGUAUGGUUAAGUCCAGUAACGAGCGCAACCCCUAUCCUUAUUUGCCAGCGCGUUAAGGCGGGAACUAUAGGGAGACUGCCGGGUGAAACCCGGAGGAAGGCGGGGACGAGGUCAAGUCAUCAUGGCCCUUAUGGGUUGGGCUACACACGUGCUACAAUGGGAAGUACAGAGGGAUGCGAAAGCGUGAGCUGGAGCCAAACCCUUAAACUUUCUUAGUCCGGAUUGGAGUCUGCAACUCGACUCCAUGAAGUCGGAAUCACUAGUAAUCGCGAAUC
rnacentral:rRNA from 1 species